GACGAACGCUGGCGGCAUGCCUAACACAUGCAAGUCGAACGGUAAGGCUUCCUUCGGGAGUACACGAGUGGCGAACGGGUGAGUAACACGUGGGUAACCUCCCCCUGACUGGGGGACGACCGAGGGAGCCUUCCGCUAAUACCACCUAACCUGCAUUUGCUCAAGUGGGUGUACCAAAGCUCCGGCGGUUAAGGAUGGGCCCGCGGCAGAUUAGCUUGGUGGUGAGGUAACGGCUUACCAAGGCGACGAGCUGUGGCUGGGCUGAGAGGACGAUCAGCCACACUGGAACUGAGACACGGGCCAGACUCCGACGGGAGGCAGCAGUGGGGAAUCUUGCGCAAUGGGCGAAAGCCUGACGCAGCAAUGCCGCGUGAGGGAAGACGGCCUUAGGGUUGUAAACCUCUUUCAGCAGGGACGAACACAGACGGUACCUGCAGAAGAAGCCCCGGCUAACUACGUGCCAGCCGCCGCAGUAA
rnacentral:rRNA from 1 species